CAAAAAGGGGGAAAUUAAACAAAAUGCUCAAUGUAUCUCUUUGCAGAUUCUUCAGGGAGUAGAGAACAUUCACAUGGAUGACAUCCCAGUUUUCUCAUCAUGUUGAGUCCAGCUUUUCAUUCACUGACAACUAACUCAGAAAUCUAAAAUUUGAUAUUUUGAGGAAAACGCAUUUACC